UACGAAGGGGGCUAGCGUUGCUCGGAAUGACUGGGCGUAAAGGGCGCGUAGGCGGAUGGCACAGUCAGAUGUGAAAUUCCCGGGCUUAACCUGGGGGCUGCAUUUGAUACGUGUUGUCUAGAGUGAGGAAGGGGGUUGUGGAAUUCCCAGUGUAGAGGUGAAAUUCGUAGAUAUUGGGAAGAACACCGGUGGCGAAGGCGGCAACCUGGUCCUUGACUGACGCUGAGGCGCGAAAGCGUGGGGAGCAAACAGG
rnacentral:rRNA from 1 species